ACUUUUUUAGUAUAAUAAGUACAUCUGACUUCCAAUCAGUUAGCUCUAGCCCAAACCUAGAAAAAAGUA
rnacentral:tRNA from 1 species